AUUGAACGCUGGCGGCAGGCUUAACACAUGCAAGUCGAGCGGGGUUAUGGUGCUUGCACCACAACCUAGCGGCGGACGGGUGAGUAAUACUUAGGAAUCUACCUAUUAAUGGGGGACAACAUCUCGAAAGGGGUGCUAGUACCGCAUACGUCCUACGGGAGAAAGCAGGGGACCUUCGGGCCUUGCGCUAAUAGAUGAGCCUAAGUCGGAUUAGCUAGUUGGAGGGGUAAAGGCCUACCAAGGCGACGAUCUGUAGCGGGUCUGAGAGGAUGAUCCGCCACACUGGGACUGAGACACGGCCCAGACUCCUACGGGAGGCAGCAGUGGGGAAUAUUGGACAAUGGGGGGAACCCUGAUCCAGCCAUGCCGCGUGUGUGAAGAAGGCCUUUUGGUUGUAAAGCACUUUAAGCGAGGAGGAGGCUACCGAGAUUAAUACUCUUGGAUAGUGGACGUUACUCGCAGAAUAAGCACCGGCUAACUCUGUGCCAGCCGCCGCCGUAAUAC
rnacentral:rRNA from 1 species